CUUCCCGUAGCUCAACCGGAUGAGCACCGCGCUACGGACGCGGAGGAUGCAGGUUCGACUCCUGCCGGGAAGGCCA
rnacentral:tRNA from 1 species